GGCUUUGAUAAUUGUAUAGAUACUGCUACUACUAUACCGUCGCGUGUGAUGAUCGGCAUCCCUCUAUGUCCACUUGUUUAAUUAUUACUACGUGAUGAGCAUAUUGUGAAAGCAGCAUGUGAUUUGGGGCGUGCAUGCAUGCCGUUCUUUUCCAUGUAGUAACAAAUGAUGAUCAAGAAUUCAAUAUAGACAUGGAAAUGAAAAUGCUGAUUUGAUUGCGGGACAAGAUAUUGAGUUGAAAAACUACACCUUCUGGUGCCUCGCCUACUCGUACACAAGAAAAAGUAGGACUAUUCGACGGUCUUUGAUUUGCACCAAAAAGCCUAGUUAGUGGCGGGGCACGAGUAGGAGGCAAAAGCCUAACGUUAAUUGUCCGCCACCACCAGGUAGCACUAUUUCAAUUUCAACAGACGCAGCCAUUUUUGCCGACAUUGACAAGGCAGUGUGUUGCUACAUGCACUGCACAUUUGUACUCUUGUACAGUUCUUUCGAUCCUGAGAUAGCGGAGGCUUUUAUCCUACGCACUGCUGUCUCUUUUGCACAAGACCAAGGGUUGACGUAUGUGAUUUUUGCCUCUGAUUGUCUUUCCCUGAUGCAAAGGAUCAAGUCUGACGUCAUCAAACAAACGGCCCUUGUGUUUGCGUCUUUCCCAUUCAAACGUGUUGGUCGGCAAUGUGAUGUUGUGGCUAAUGUUUUAGCCAAGUCUUGUAAAACUCUAGUGCGCUUUGUAUUUCACAUUUUGCUCCGUAGUGUAUCCGGCAGACUUUGUAUGACCUUAUUACUUAAUCAAUAAAUGCCGACAUUCUGAAAAGAGGACAGUUGUCGCAAUUUCAGGAGCUAUGCACCGAAAGUACCCUACGNNNNNNNNNNNNNNNNNNNNNNNNNNNNNNNNNNNNNNNNNNNNNNNNNNNNNNNNNNNNNNNNNNNNNNNNNNNNNNNNNNNNNNNNNNNNNNNNNNNNNNNNNNNNNNNNNNNNNNNNNNNNNNNNNNNNNNNNNNNNNNNNNNNNNNNNNNNNNNNNNNNNNNNNNNNNNNNNNNNNNNNNNNNNNNNNNNNNNNNNNNNNNNNNNNNNNNNNNNNNNNNNNNNNNNNNNNNNNNNNNNNNNUGUACUCUCUUUUUUUACGUGGAAACAAUAUGUGUACUCACCUUGAUAAAACAAGUAGAUGUACGAAUUAGCAUGCUGACCACACGAGAAAAUAUGUACUCUAAAAUAUCCAAAGUCCGUAAUCCGAUUUUGUCGGACACCAAUAGUAGGUAAUUUAGGGCAUCUCCAAUGCCAACCCUUUGAAUGGACACACUAUUUUUUCGGACUGGUCCGAAUUCGUCCGCGGAUAUUGAUAUGGGAGCCGACCAUCACCCUGUCCCCUAAACGUUUGCACCUAUUUUUUUGCCGCCGCUAUACUUGAGAGUUAUGCUGGUUCGAAGAGAUAUUUCCCUGAUGACCAAGACCUCAUUUUGAACAUGAACAACACUAGUAUUGAGAGAUUAGAGUAUAGGGAUGUUGAUGAUGUAAGUGUCUCUUGUAAGAGAGUUAGUGUUGAGAGAGUAGAGGUUGUGAUUUCCCUGAUGAUGUAAGUGUCUCUUGUAAGAGAGUUUGUGUUAAGAGACGUUUCCUGAUGGCCAUGAACUUUAAAAAGCAUGCUAUGGUUUUCCUCCUUUCGUCCUCAAGUGCAACUCCGCUGAGCCAGCCUAACAAAAAGUACACUAUUUUCUUGUUCAAGCCGGUUCUUUUUGUUCGCUUUUGUUGGGUAGUUGGUUUCCAUCUGGUGUUAUUUCUCGAUUUUUAAGUUCCGUUUUAUUUUCAUAUUCCUUUAAAAAAUAAUUUUCAGUUUCUAUCUACUUUUUUGUUUUCCCUAUUUUUCACGUAUAUAUUUUCAUUUUAAUUACAUCAAGUUUUAUAAAAAAAGGAACACUUCUGAAUAUUUUCAUUUUUAGUUAUUUACAUAAAUAUUUUCAUUUUAAUACUUUUUAUUUUUGUUUUAUAUACACCAUGCCUUUUCUUAUAUCAUUUUUGCUUCUUAUUUAUUUUCUAUUUUUUGGAAUCUUUUUUCAUAGUGUUUUCCAACAAUUUUGUUGUGUUUAUAGAAAACAAUAUGCAUCUUAGAAAAUUCUCAUUUUGUUUUUGAAAAAUGGUCAUUGUGUUUUUUAAAAGAUGGUCAUCGAGUAUUUGAAAAGUGUUUAUCUUGUACUUAAAAAUAAUUUUGACCAUGUAUAAAGAUUUGUAAAAAUUGUUCAUGUAUGGCGUAAAAACUGGAAGCAGAAAAUAAAAAAGAAACAACAACAUUUUUUCCAGAAAAACUGGCAUACUGGCCACGCUGAAGUGAAUGGUUGGAAAAAGAUGAAUAAAGUAGUCAAUUUACACAGGAGUGGAGCAAGAGAACGAGAACAACCAAUUUGGUGUGCCGGCCCAUGCAAAAGGACAUGUGACUCAUGGAAAGUGAGAUAUAGAUUAUCAGAGUUCUAAAAAAAGAGAUGCUUCUGAGUUAGUUACUCCCCCCUUUCAAAAAUAACUGGAUGCUUCUGAGUUUGAACUAAAACCAUGUCAGUUCCGAACGGAAGUAGUAGUUUACAAGAUGGACUAAUCAGAGGAGCAACCUAUAGGCCGGGCAAAGAGGGCGACCGCCCAGGGCCCUAAGAGGAGUAAAGCCCAAGUUAAAUUAUACUACUAACCACUAUACUUAUAUUUUCAAGUCCAAAAGAUUAUAAUACUAACCACUAUAUUUAUAAAAAAGGGACCAGUUUCAAAUAUUUUUCAUUUUCAGUUAGUUACAUAUUUUUUUCAUUUUUUUUCUGAAUAUUGUUUUUUGUCUUAAAUACAGCAUACCUUUUCUUGUAUCAUUUUUUUGCUUCGUAUUUAUUUUCUAUUUCUGGUCUUUUUUCAUCAUAGUGUUUUUCAACUAUUUCGUUAUGUUUCUAGAAAACAAUGUGCAUAUCAGAAAAUGCUCAUUUUGUGUUUUUGAAAAACUGUCAAUGUGUUUUUAAAACAUGGUCAUCAUGUAUUUUAAAAGUGUUUUUAUGUAUUUAAAAUAAUUUCCAUCAUGUAUAAAGAUUCAUAAAAGUGUUCAUGUAUGGUGUACAAAACUGAAAGUGAAAAAGGAAAAAAAAUGAUGUUUUCGGAAAAACUGGGAUACCCAUGGUGGAGUGAACGAUUGAUGAAAAGAGGAAUAAAAUAGUCGAGUUGAGCGAGAGAACGAGAACGACCAAUUUGGUGGGGUGGCCCACGCAAAAGGACAUGCAAGUCACUAUAAGUGAGAUAUAGACGUGUCUGAAUUAGUCAGUCCCUCCCUUCGAAAAUAAUUGGUGUGGUUUUAGUUCAAAACAAUGUAUUUUAUUUCGAAUGAAGGUAGCAGUUUAUAAGAUGGACUGAUCAGAGGAGUGACCCAUAGGCCGGGCAAAGAGGGCGACCGCCCCGGGCCCUAAGAGGUGUACGGCCCAAGUUAAAUUAUAAUACUAACCACUAUACUUAUAUCUCAAGUCUAAUAGAUUAUUGUAUGUAAGUAGAAAAAUCUUAAGUUUGCAGAGCAAGCCCACACCACAAACCAAUCUACUAAUGGAUCAUAUAUAUAAGUGUCUUAAAUUUAGUAUAACUUUGUAUUAAAGUUAGUAUAAAAUUGAGACAUUUACUUUGGACGGAGGGAGUACGUCUCAGAAGUUGUACCGAAUUCCAUGUUAAUUAGAUUUGUAUGUUUAGUUGCUUGUAAAACCUUUUAUGUCAAAAAUUGGCAUGGGCUCUUAUAUAUAUACACCAGAAGAAACCCAACGUCCAAACAAGCAUAUCAGUUACCCUAAAUGUACAAAGAAAAUUACACAAAAUAUAACCGGUGAACAGUCACCAACUAGGGACAUAUAUGAACGACUCACCCGUUGUCCGAUUUCGAUUGUGCAAUUGUGAUUCUUAAAGGCAUAGAAAGGUUGGUUUUCAAGGAAGACUUUUUUCAUGAAAACCGAGAACGGUCCACCUGGGUUUUCUGUGAAUCCAUGAAAAAUGAGGGUGGGCUGGCUUCUUUUUCUUUUGCGAGAAAAUUUCCAAUCUAUUCAUCUUCAAUCAUGGCAGUACAACGAAUACCAAAAAUAAUAGAUAUUACAUCCAAAUCUAUAGACCACCUAGCGACGACUCCCAGCACUGAAGUGAGCUGAAGGCAUGCCGUCGUCAUCGCCCCUCCAUCGCCGGAGUCGGGCUCAACUUGUUGUAGUAAACAGUCGGGAAGUCGUCGUAUUAAGGCCACGUAGGACCAGUGCACCAGAAUAGCAACUGCCGCAGAUGAAGAAUAACAUAGAUCGGAAAGAUCUAAUCUGAGACGAACAACGACGAGAUCCGAGCAAAUCCACCAAAGAUAGAUUCGCCAGAGACACACCUCCACACGCCCACCAACGGUGCUAGAUGCACCACCGGAAUGGGUGCUAGACGGGGAGACUUUUAUUUCAUCUUCAGGGAGUCGCCGCCGUCUCGUCUUUCUGAACAGGACACAAACCCUAGCAAUAUUGAAAAAAAAACGACUAAAAACGAAGUCCUCCCACUGGCCCUUACCGAGAUCCACCAUGCCCCCAUGGCCCUAGGGCCACCGGAGAGAAAGCAGACAUGCGGCGGCACUGGUGGGAGACAUAAACCCUAUCUUUUUUGUGGAGGAGGAGGAGGAGGCGGCGACGGCUCGUAGGCGGCUGGCUUCUUUUAAUCUCAAGAAAAAAGGCCGCCUCGCGCCUACGAGCCGCUAAAAGAUCCAAAAAAGAACUGAACUAACCUUCAUAUUUUUCAUAAUUUUGGAUAUUUUGGUGAUGCCUGAAAUAUAUUUUGUUACAGUGCCCAAAUUUAAACCUUACUCUCGAGUAGGGACCCAUAUCUCAACAGAAACUAUAUGUGCAAAUCUCUGACUUCUCUUUACACUACGAGAAAAAGGGCUAUAGCCAAUAUGGACAUUAAUGACGCACUAUGUAUGUGGUGCGCCAUUGCUAUAUAGCAGUGGCGCACCAGAUAUAGGUACGCCAUUAGUGUCCUCAUUACUAAUGACGCACCAGACACACGGUGCGCCAUUACUAGCAUAUUGUAUUUUUAUUUUUCCAAAACUAUUAAUAGCGCACCAGCGCACAGUACGCCAUUAAUAGUUUUAACUAGUAAUGGCGCACGACACACAAGGUGCGCCAUUACUAACAUUUUUUUUUCCAAAACUAGUAAUGACGCACCAGAGUAUAGUGCGUCAUUACUAGUUCAAACUAGUAAUGGCGCACCACAACCAAGGUGUGCCACUACUAACAAUUAUAUAUAUUUUUGUUUUGCGAAACUAGUAAUGAUAUUUCUUCUGUUCUAGUCCUCAUGAAUAUUUAUUUAUGUGUUUAUUCUGGUAUUGAAUUUCUAACUCACAAAAAAUAUUGAAUUUAUUAAUAUUUUUUGAACUCAUGAAUAUUUUUAAAUUUUAUGGGCACUUUUUGAAUUCAUGAUUUUUUUAAAUUUGAUGAUAUUUUUUCAUAUUCAUAAAUUUCUUACCAAUUCACAAAUGAAUGCAACUAAAAAUCCAAAAAGAAUUGAUGAUAUUUUCAAAUAAUAAAUUUGAUGAUAUUUUCAAAUAACAAUUUUGGUGAUAUUUUUUCAUAUUCAUAAAUAUUUUCAAAUAACAAAUUUGAUGAUAUUUUUUCACAUUCAUAAAUAUUUUCAAAUUUGAUCAUCAUUUUCUAAAAAAAAUAUUAGAUGCAACUAAAAAUCCAAAAAAAAGGUUAGUAAUGACGCACCAGGGGAAGGUGCGCCAUUGCUAUCAAAGUACUUAUGGCGCACCCCUAGGAGAUGCGCCAUUGCUAACCUUCCCCCCUCGUUAACCCACCCUCGCCAGAUCCCCCUCGCCCGCUCUCGCUCUCCACCACCGCCGAGCAAACCCCCCGCGCCCGCUCUCCACCGCCGCUGAUGACCCCCCGCACCCGACGACCCCCGCGCCCGCUCCACCGCCGGAGCACUAGGAGGAGGAGUCCUUCUUCUUCCUCCAGCCGUCGCCAUCUCGCGGUCGCCACCGUCUCUCCGGUCCACCCCGGCCUUCACCGAGCCUGCCACGAUCUCCGUGGUGAGUCCCUCAGCCGUUCCUCCCUUCGAUCCGCCUCCAUAGGCCGUCGUAAGCCGCCGCUGUCGACCUUGCGCUCACCCCACAGCUGGCCCGUGUGCCCCUGGGCUCCUCUGCCACGCCUCGACGCACGCCCUCCCCGCUGCUCCUGCCCUUGGGCACGCAUCCUCCUGCGCGCCCCUGGCCAUCCCUCGCCCGUGCUCGUCCGCCCGUUGCCGCUCGCGCGAGCGCGUGCUGACUGUUGCCGCGCCGCCCCCGCUGCUGUUGUUGCUCUGCUGACUGCACUACUGCUGCUGUUGAUGUUCGCUGCUUGGCCGCUGCUUGUUGCUGCCUUGGCGUUGCUCUUUCCCACUGCUGAUGCUGCUCUCUGCUGCCGCCACACUACUGCUCUGCCUGCUGCUUGCUAGUUGCCCUUCCAACCCGAUUCCAUUCCAUUUGGUUACGCCGCUGUGCUGCUGAUGCUCGAUUGAUUGAAGUCCCCUGUCUGCAUCCUCCCUUGUUAACGAUCUGGAGGGUUGGUGCCAUUUCCAUGGGUAAUAAUCACUUUUUGAGCGAGUUAGUAAUUGUCGGCUGGCCCUGUCAUGUUCUUCCACCCCCGGGAACACAACACUCAUCUUUUUUAUCAGUUUCUUUUUGUUUGCACCGUUCAGGUCCACUCCUUUGUUUAAUCUAAUCAUCGUUGCCCACCAAUGCAUGAUAUGGGCAUCUCACCACCACCAUAAGAGAACACUAGGAUUAUCGCAUUCGGUUUUAGCAAUUUUAGCUAAUGCGGGAGAAUAAUAUUAUGUGUCGAACCGAGAGUGAGCGUCGUACUGUCAUGGGAAGGAUUUAUUAGGAGUGGCUAUUAAGUUGGUGCUUGACACUUGUGGGUGCAAUUGCAAAGCUUUCCCUUGUCCAUCAAUAUUAUGUGGUGCCUUUUCUUUUCUGAAUUUAAAGAGUGCCAACUUCGGCACUAAUCAGUGCCAACUUCAACCUCUUAGCCAGGCAACAAGUGGAUUCCACCACCUCCUCAUAGGAUUAAGCAAAGCCAAUUAAGAAAAAAGACAUCACCAUCAUAGAUCACACAUCCCUCAAGGAAGAACCACUUUCAGCUAUCCAUGAAGAACCACUUUCCUGCUUGUCUGCAAAGUGGUUGUUGGAGUCCAGAACACUUAGAUAGUUAGUCAAAUGAAUUGCUUGCUUGCUACUUUUUUUAGCUACUGUUUUUAUUAAAAAAAUUGGAGUUUAUAUCAUAUAUAUUGCUGGCAUGUAUUUCAUAUGUUCUGUAGCAUUAAGGCUACAUAGCAUGCCAUUUUUGUGCCUUGUAUUAAUUGCUUUCCCUACAUGUUUACAGGUUUAAGUGAAAAAAGAGGAAGAAAGGAGAAUCAGGGUAGGGUUUCAUGGCUAGAAGAUAUAUUGCUGGAUUUUGUCUUCGACCAUCGUGUCGUGAUGAUAUUGGGGGGUUUUGUCUCCGACCAUCGUGUCAUGAUGAUAUUGCGGGGUGUUGUGGGGUUGCAGCGGGGCGGGGGUGGGAUAAUGAUUUUGUAGGUACCCCGAGAGGCCCUUGAGUUUGCCGGAAUGUCGAUUAACUUCCGUUCUGGCAAAUUCGGGUACUCCAUAUGUCCUAUUUUCAACAAAGGUCAUGCUAAAAUUUUCCGUGAAUUUUAGCAUGACUUUGCUAAAAAUAGGACAUAUGGGGUACUUGCGACUAAUGCAUGGGCCUGGGUAUCUUAGUACUUAAUUAAGUAGGAUCAACUGCCUCUUGUGUUAUAUAUAUAGAAGUGUGAUAUCAACUCAUAGUUAUUAUUAAUGUCAAGAGAUGAUGUAGUUUUGAAUUAUGAACGUAGGAAAUGUCGUCAUCGGACGACGAAAGUCUCCCGGGGGAGUGCGACUGGUGCCACGACGAUCGAGGUUUGUGCGACAGGCCUCACUUGGAUGAUGAUCGACGCUUCAGCAUUAAGCUCGAGGAGACCUUCGAAAUUGAAAUGGUACACAAUGACGACAAGUGUUUUUUUUCAUAAUUAAGCAUGACUUCAACUAUUUCAACGUGUAAUUUUCAUCUUUCAUAAUUCGAGUAUAGCUUAUCCUAUGCCAUGCAAGACACUAUGCCUUGGAAGGAUGGAUUUUGAAGACCAUGAAAGUUAUUACGAAACAAAAAAAAUUCACCUAAGGACUCAUUAUGAUGUGGAUUUUGAAGUAAAUCUGUAUGAUUCUGGGAGCGUAACCCAUUUUGGUUGCAAAAAUUGGGAAGCAUUUUGCAAGAUGUAUGGUUUUGACGAGGGUAUGCUUAUCACCAUGGAUCUUGGUGAUCCUGACAUCGACCAAGACAAUAUGGACAUUUGGGUCCUUGUUGAUACGCCUCCAGUUCUACCGCUAUGUGAGUUUCUCAAACAUAGUUAAUUAUUAACUAAUUUAUAUUGUUCAGUUCAAAAUAGUUGACAACUUAUUUCCAUUGACAACUUAUUUUGAUUCUUCAAAGAAUGUGCGGGAGAUGGUAGACAAAACCCACUACACCGAUGGCUCCAAAUUAACUUACAAGGUGAAAAAUCAUCUGGUCAGAUUUUGUACUGACAUUGAGAAUUACAAUAUCUACAAUCAAACUCCUCAACAUUAUGAUCAAUACGUGCCACUAGUGCAUGUGUUGAACUACGGUAACUACCAUGGAGAUACCCUGAUAAGAUUUUUUUACUAUUACGACAUCCGUGCAUCUUUUGCAUACUUCUAAAACUAGUACAUCAUUGCUAACUAUGAAGUUAUUACUAUGUUUUUCAACAGAUAAUCCCAAAGAAUUGUGUGCCUCAUUUGAUGUAUCAGAAAGUUAGCCUUAAUGUUUUGAACAUACAACCAGGUCAUCCUACGAAUCUCAACUGUCCAUACCAGAUUUCUAAAAGAAGUGGAGACAUGCAAAUCAAAGGAUGGAAAAAAUGUAUGGACAGUCGUAAGGAGGUUCUUGGAAGCAAAAAGAAGCGAAGCGCAAGAAUUGGAGAUAGGAUGAUCUCCAUUCUCCAUAAUGGAGACUCAGGGUCUAUUUUGUUUUAUGCUAUUUUACCUUAAAGAGGGUAUUUAGGUCCUACCUAAUACUGAUGAUCAUGUGCUAAGAACAAUUAAGUAGGGUUGGUUCGAUGACUAUGAGGAUGAUGAUCAUAUGACUUGUUAUGAAUAACGAGUAGAAGUUGUAUGAUGAUGAUUAGUAGGACUUGUUAUUAUGAUGAUAUCCAUGAUGCGAGCAUGAAGAGUUAUUAUAUAUCUGUGGGUGAAAUGAACAUGGAUUGGAUUGAAGUGAAGGCAACAUGCAUGUGGUGCAUGUCAAAAGUAGUACAAUCUAAACUUGAUCAAGUUAGGAUUAGUAUUACUUUCGACAUGCACCACAUGUUGCCUCAGUUCAAUCUAAGUCAUGUUUACGCAUAGCAGUAGCAGUAGCACGGAGAUAAGAGAGGACACAUCUCUCAAUUAUCUCCGAAUGCAGUAUUACUUUCGACAAACUCGCUACUCGCGGUCUCGAGACUUGUAAUGUUCUAACUUUGUUCGGUCUUUUGAAUUUGGAGACUAAUAUGAUGAAUUGUAUUCGGAGACUAAGGCCCUCUUUGAUUCGCAGGAUUUUCAAAUCGUAGGAAUAGGAAAAGUAUAGGGUUGGAGUGGCAUGCACACAUGAAUCCUACAGGAUUAGCAUGGAGUGUUUGAUGGCACAGGAAAAGCAAAGGAAUUGUAAAAAGAGGUUGGAGUGGAUGUUAGAUUUCCUAUGAAAUGUAGUACAAAAGAUUUCAUAGGAAAAAUUCCUAUGGGAUCCAAUCCUAUGAAUCAAAGAACCAACAUAGGAAAAAUUCUUAAGGAUUUCAAUCCUCCAGAAAUCCUAUAGAAUUCCUUUGAAUCAAAGGAGCCCUAAUCUUCUAUUAUAUUUGAUGAAUCUGCUGUUUAUAUGGUGUGCUGUCUAUAUUCUGUGCAGUAAUAUAUGUUGUAACCUGUGCAAAUAUCAGAAAAUAAAAAAAUUCUAAUAUUCAUACUAGUGGCGCACCAAACAUCAUAUUAGUGGCGCACUGCUAUAAAAAAAUACUAGUGGCGCAUUAUCUGUUAGUGCGCCAUUAGUAACCCAGAGCACAAGGUAAAUAUGGCCCCCUGGGAGGCAUACUUAUGGCGCACCGUGUGACUUACUAAUGGCGCACUGCCUCGUGCGUCACUAUAGUAUGGUAUACUAAUGACGCGUCAUUAAUAUAUGUUACUAGUGGCGUGCCAAAACAGAUGCGCCACUAAUAAGCUUUUUCCUAAUAGUGUUAUCUCUUUGCCCAUCUCGGCUAAACUGUUCAGUUGUCCUCUGCGCAAAGUUGUUGGCAUCCUAUGCAAGCAAGUAGGCGUUUCGGUUCAAUGUAACACGAAUUUAGGGACCGAUCGAUAUAAUUGUGGCCUGUGGGCACCUCGUGCCAAACGCCAAAAAUAUGCACCUUGCCGUGUGCGUCGCUUUUGGCAAGUCAUCAUGGAAGCCGCGUAUGUUCACUGAGGCGAAGAACACCACAACUCUCCAACCGAUCCAAUCUCUAGGGAGAAAACACGGUACCUAAAAAAUUCUACAGGGUGCGUGGUAGAGCCCGAGUCGGCAUCGUACGGCACUGCUAAGGUUCAAGGGAGGAAAAAGGGUAGACGUGGCAGCUUAUGGCAUCGUGUAGUGUGUUUACAGUGUUACGUCCAUGACGGUCGCAUCGUAGCAGAAAAUUACCUCUCCUGUCCCCGCAGAUGAUUGGAUAGGGGCCUCUUGUAUGUACUCAACAUAUGGCUAAGGCGAAGUUCCGGAUUCCCUUGCCCCCGAAGCAACUGGACGUGUAUAAAUGUGCACAGAUGCAGGGCACGGUCCGUGCGAGUUCCCCUCUGGUUCUUCCUUGUGAAUUGACUGCGAGAGAGAGAGAGAGAGAGAGAGAGAGAGAGAGAGAGAGAGAGAGAGAGAGAUCCGGGAGGAAAAUUCCUUGGUCCUUGGUCGGUUGCACCCGUAGUUCUGCUAUAAAUACAUAGUACCGCCCGCCUAAUCAAUCGCUCUCACGCCCUCCGUCGUCCUCUUCUUCCUCCAGACGAAGCAAUCAUGGUGAGGCUGGGGCCUCUGGCCGCGCAGCACGCGGGAGCGUUCGCCCGCGACCUGGGGCUGGGAAGCCCCGCGGCGCUCGUGGCCUUCGCGGUCGUCGCGACGGUGGCGGUGGCGGCCGUGGCGGCCUUCGGCUGCGCCAAGGGGGCCAAGAAGCCGCGCCGGCAAGACAAGAACAACGUCUACUACUACGGCCAGGGGUAUCCGCCGCCGCCACCCGCGGGCGCGUACGGUUACCCGGCGCAGCAGCCGGCCCCGGGCUACGCGUACCCACCGCCGCCCGCCGACGCUGGGAGGAAGCAGGGGCGCAUGGGCGGUGGCGCGGGGCUCGCCCUCGGUGCUGGCGCUGGCCUGGCCACCGGCGUCAUCGUCGGCUCGGCGCUCAGCUCCGGGUGCGGAGGAGGCGGCGGGUGCGGUGGUGGCUGCGGUGGCGGAUGCGGUGGUGGCUGCGGCGGUUGACCUGGUCGUACGUGUUUCAUGGCUUGCGUUGGUGUGCGUACGUAGUGGUUAGACAGUUGGGGCUUUGAUAAUUGUAGAUAUACUACUUACUACACUAUACAGUAUCGCGUGUGACGAUCGGCAUAUCUCUACGCCCGCUUGUUCGAUUACUACGUGAUGAGUAUAUUGUGAAAGCAGCAUAUGAUUUGGGGCGUGCAUGGAUGCCGUUCUUUUCCAUGUAACAACUGAUGAUCGACACAUACAUGGAUAUGAAAAUGCUGGUUUGGUUGCAGGAGAAGAUAUCUUUGAGUUGGAAAUACUUCACC
rnacentral:lncRNA from 1 species